UCGGAUGAGGAGGACAGAAAAAGUUUGCGGCAGAGAAGGACAGAAGGAAAAGGAAUUCAAGAUUUUUCAAAACAGGUGCCAAGAAGCAGACUUUCUUUCCUUGCUGCAGACAGCAGAUCAAACUGGAAAAGAAAAACUGGCCUUCUUUAGCCUGUUUGAAUGCUGAGGCAUUGGCUGAGUUUGGCAGUAGUUCCCCAUCUCUGCUGUAUCCCAGCUACCCCUCCAGCGCUGUCAUGGGAAAAAUGUUUCUGCAAAUGCUCAUUUCUGGCAAAACACGCAGAUGCAAAGUUAGGGACAGUUGUGAAAGAAAUCUAACCAACAAAUGGAGCUCAAACAGGAGGAAACACUGGAGACGGAAAUUAAAGAAGGAGAAGGGCUGUUAAAGAACAGUUCCAAUGAUUUGGAUGUGCCACAGAAACAUCCUUGUCCCAACCACUGUGUUUCUCACUGGAAGAAACUACCACAGAUCUCUGUGGUAGGCACUGUGCUUCCAUGGCAUUUUAAAGGAACAGAAUUUUCUGGAUCUUCCCCUUCUUAGUGAAUACCCAGGCACACCCUCACACAAACCAUAUGUUAAUAACUUCAGAGCACAAAUUUAAUUUAUCUCAGCUUUCCACCUGACAUCACUCCUGGUCACGUGGUGCAGACCCAUCCGUAAACAAAACGGGGAUUCAUUUCCAUAGCAACAGCGAGGGGGACUUUGAUCAGCUCCAAUGAUUAUUUGUAGGCACACAGAUACCAAAACCCUGAGUGAGGGCUGAUUACCUUGUUUUUUUAAAUGCAGGCAGUUCAGUUGGUUUAUGUGCACGAGCAGGAACACGAGGUAGAGGCACUCAAAGCUGCCUGUGAAAGGCAAACGAAGCCACUGGUCAUUAGCCUGGUGUCCCUUCCAGUUCCUUGGGAAUCUGUACAUUCCUAAUGCCUCCAAUGUGAUGUGUGUGUCCCGUGACCAAUAAAGUGUGUUCUUUGUGCUCCCUGGCAGAUGUGCAGGUUCAGGCAGCGCGUGCAGGUGUUUUUGGGGCUGGCUCGUGUGGGAUGAGGAGAGGUGGGAGCCUGUGGCUUCACAGGGAAAAAAAAAAAAGAGGAAGAAAAAGAAUCUGAACAAUGUGUUGAAAAAGACUCCAGUCAGAGCUGCUCAGGACCAGCUGUUUUUUUCUAAUUAGAAUAACAAAAAUAGCACAUGCUAAAAUGUUUUUUGUUUUUUUCUCAAAAGCCAUGAAUGCUUUAGGAACUAUAAGGAAAGAGCUCUAAAACCUAUUUAAAUGAAGGAAUGUUUCAGGAGCCAUAUGGAGAAGAAAAAGAAAAGGCGAAAGUAGAGAAAUGUUUUAUUUUUAGCUAAAUCUGAAGCAUUUCGAUUCUUCAUCCAAUGUUACACAGAAAUUGUCUUACUUCUAAACUUCCAAAAAUGUCAGUGCUGAUGCUUAUUGUAUCAUGGCUUAAAGGAGACAGUUAAAAUACUCAGUGCCUUUCAGUGGGGUGUUCUUCCAGGCAUUGGAAAUUUGAAAAUUCCAUUCCGUGCCCUGAACAUGCAUUGAGAUAUAUUCCUAAGAUCUGUCUGUGCUCUGGUAAUGUAUGAGAGCUGCACGUAAUGAAGGAUGUGACAAACACUCAAAACACACCCUGUAUCAUCAGUCUUUGUUCCUCUUUUUUCUUCUUUCCCCCCCCCCCCCCCUUUUCCUGAAGCACUGAUGAUUCAAAACUUUGACUACAGGAAUAACAUUUGUAACAGCUCUGGCAUUCUGGACAUCUGCACUGCUCGAGUACUUCAGAAUAAAGUCACAUGGCCAUGGGGAAAUUUCACAGAAUUCAAAUCACAGGGACUUGCCAAGGUGUAUAACGAGUUUGUUUUCAGCUGUUCUCCUCAUGAAUAAUUACCAGGCAGGCAUAUCCUAAAGCGAGCACAAGCUGUCAUUUCACCAGAAAUAUUCAAUAUUUAAAACAGAAUUUCGAAUUUAGAAUUUCAUAAAUGAAAAUAAUUAACAGCCCAGGCAAAACAGCCCAGUCCAAGUGCUGUCAGGUACCUCCUGCCUUUCCAGGAGGCUUCCCAGGACCAGCACGUUGGAGCCACAUUAAAUUAUUUUUGCAACGUAAAGAAAAUUAUGCAAAUGUAAAGGGAAUUGCAAGUAUCUUUUUUUUUCCCCCUAGAACUAAUACUUUGCUAUCAUUUUACUGACUGUUCCUUUACCGAGCACAGAAAGGGAAAACACAGUAGGAUUCCAGGGCUUCCAUCUGUUUUAGUCCCUUCAGAUCAAAGCUGCUUGUGGGUUCUUUUCCACCACCAUACACAGGAGCCAACAGCAGUGCAGAGCUGGACAGGAAGGAUGAGGGGGGGGAUAAGAUGCAAGGGAUGGGAUGCACUUGACCUCAAAGCCUUCCUUAGACCCUUUACUCCCAUGCAGGUCCCUAACUUGAAGCUCAGACCUGUGUUGUUCCCUUGGGAGAAGUUGGGAAGGACUCCUGGCACAGGGAGAAGGGACCAUGGGAACACGAGCAGCUCCAAGGGAUCAGGGUCUCACUGCCCCUCCAACAGCUUCCAGAUCAGCUGUGACCUCUCUGUUAUUCCAGCAAAUAUCUGCUCACAUCCCUGGGUUUUCUGCUCUUGCAUCCCAGGGGGGAUGAAAGAAGGGGAGAUUGGGAGCCAAGAGAAAAGCACCCUCGCCUUUCACACGGGGCUUAAUGGUGGCACGUUAUUGUAACGUUAUGAAAAUCUUUAUUGGAGCUUGAAUAAUGCCCUGAAAUAGAUAUUGUGCUGGUUAAUAAAUUACAUUUUCAAAUGAGAGAGAUUUUAUCACCAAAACAUCUCAUGAUUAAUUUCUAAUGUGAAGCUUAUGGCCCGAACUUAAAACAUUGCAUUUCGCAUUUGUGUUCAAAGGUUGAGCACUUAGGAAAGUUUUUAUAAGAAUCUCGCUGUAUUUUUUUCCCCAUAUUGAAAAAAAAAAAAAAUCACUAACCUGUUAAUCCACUAUAACUUCAUAACCUCAAUUACAGCUCUUGAGAUGAAGGUGAUUAAAAAUAAGUAUUUUCCCUCACUUUCAAAGAGCAGGUCACACCUUCCAGAGAAAUCCUGUUUCAAAUUUUUCAAUGAUACUUUAAGGGCAAUAAUUAGAAUUGGUCAGAAAUAUUCCAUAAGAGAUGUUUCCUAUUUUUCAACCAGUUCUAACUAUAACUACUUGGAGUUAUCUCAAGUAGUAGUGCUGUAGUAAAUAGAGUUAUUUCCAUAGGAAGUAAGAGGAGAUAAUAUAGAACUGGAUGUACCAUGAGAAAGAGCCAGGGUAUUCAAAUCAGGAAUUCCCAGCUCCCAAACUUAAGUAUGGACCAUGAGGCCAAACUUCUGCUCUGGUGAAGCUUUUUAAAAUUAAUAAUUUCUAUUAAUCAGCCUUUUCCUGAACUUGGCCCACUGCUCAGAUUUGUGGCACAGCAUUUCCUCAUGUGCUUGACUGAUUUGCUGUUGUUGCUCAUGGGCAGCCCAUGGUCCAUCUAAGCACACUCUCAAAUGACCAAAUGAAUCAGUAAAUAAGGGGACCAGAGAAAUAAUCAAUAAACAAGGGCACCAGGCAAGGCUGCAACUCAGUUUCUCCAUUUUUCUGGACCUAUUCAAGGCUUGAGGAUUAAGAUCUAAUUGAUUAUGUCCAAGAUCAACAUGGCAUUGCAAAUAUGCUGAUACACUUGGCAUUCAUUUUGUUAAUACCCUCAAGAAAUUAAUCUAAAUUUUGCUUUUCUAACUGGUAGCCAAACAAUAAUCAGAUACUCUAUUAUUCACAAAGAGUUGGAGCAUUAAAGAAACAAAGGAAAUGGAACCACACACAAAAAUACUCCCAGUUCAGAUUAUUUAAUCCUACCAUUUACCAGAAUGUGUGUUUUAAUUCCAAGCACAGAAAUUAUUCCAGACUAAUGAUUUAAAAGACCCUCCUUUAGUGAGAGGACAGGUUUGGUUGUGUUAUUUCCCAAGCACGUUUUGGGUUAGUGGGAAAACACAGGAGCUCUAAACUGGGGUAGGCAAAGGCCACCAUGGGGGCUGCUCAGAUUCUUGGGCCUGGUGCUGGAAUUACAUUAAAAACACAGUUAUUUGUGCAUUUGGUGGCAUUAGCACUCCUGCAUCAAAAUCUCUCUUUGUUUUGCUUUGGAGUUCUUUUCUGGCAACUAAAUAAAUUGUUGCUGUGAAAAACACUGCACCUUGCUGUGAUCCUAAAACGUGGAGAAAAAUGAGGAACAUUCUCCCAAGUCCCCCUUGUCAAUCCCAGCCUUCUGAUGGUUUUCCUUUUUUUCCUGCAGUACUUCUCCAAAUUGUGUUUGUGGCUGGUACUUCCUACCCUGCCUUCCUCCCAUGGGGAGCUGGAGCUCCACCUUCUCCUCUUCCCAUUUGCAAUCCAUUUUAAUAACUUUGUCUUCACCAACAAAUAAGAAUUUUGCCAUUGUCUUUGGGGGAACCAGAAGAGAUUUUCAGGGAGCUGAGCUGUACAGGUUUUUUUGUCUCAUUUUAAUCAGGAUGUUGGUUGCACAAUUCAAUCCUGAUUGUGUAAUCAGAAAGCAAGAAGAAACAGAACACAAAUGAAUUACUAUGGAAAAAUUGUCCUCAUAAUGGGGUCAUGAAGCAUAGAGAUAUACAUUUAUAAUGCUCUGUCAAAUUACAUUAUGCAAGGAAAUAAAUUAUGUUAAGAGAAAGUAUGUUUUAAUUAC